UACGGGGGGGGCAAGCGUUGUUCGGAAUUACUGGGCGUAAAGGGCUCGUAGGCGGCCAACUAAGUCGGACGUGAAAUCCCCAGGCUCAACCUGGGAACUGCGUCUGAUACUGGAUGGCUUGAAUCCGGGAGAGGGAUGCAGAAUUCCAGGUGUAGCGGUGAAAUGCGUAGAUAUCGGGAGGAACACCGGUGGCGAAGGCGGUUCUCUGGGCCUUACCUGACGCUGAGGAGCGAAAGCGUGGGGAGCGAACAGG
rnacentral:rRNA from 1 species